UGGUAACCACAAACCACAUGUUCUCAAAAUACACUAUACAUUUAAUGUUGUAUGGAUUAUAGAUAAUAUAGAGUGCUAACUGAAGCAUUGUCUAAUAUUUCAAAUGUGUGCCACAACAAACGGAUUGCAUUAAUGGAGUGCACUAUGUUUUCUUCUAUAUGAUUGUUUGAUUGUGGUUCUGUGGUCCGAGUGUACCCUUUAGUGACAAAAUGUGAAGGAAUCCUCAAC